CAGCCGCCGCGGGAAUACAGAGGGUGCAAGCGUUAAUCGGAAUUACUGGGCGUAAAGCGCGCGUAGGUGGUUUGUUAAGUUGGAUGUGAAAUCCCCGGGCUCAACCUGGGAACUGCAUCCAAAACUGGCAAGCUAGAGUAUGGUAGAGGGUGGUGGAAUUUCCUGUGUAGCGGUGAAAUGCGUAGAUAUAGGAAGGAACACCAGUGGCGAAGGCGACCACCUGGACUGAUACUGACACUGAGGUGCGAAAGCGUGGGGAGCAAACAGGAUUAGAUACCCGAGUAGUCCCUGUCUCUUAUAA
rnacentral:rRNA from 1 species